rnacentral:ncRNA from 1 species
AAGCCUCAAGUUAUGUGUGACAACCCCCUGAAUUUAAGCAUAUUAAUAAGGGGAGGAAAAGAAACCAACCGGGAUUCCCUGAGUAGCUGCGAGCGAAACGGGAGAAGCUCAGCACGUAGGGAUGGCGGCCCGCCCGUCUAUCCGAUUCCGUGUACUGGUACGUCUCACUAUCCGUCUUCCUAGUGGUAUUCAAGUCCAACUUGAACGUGGCUUCGAACCCAUAGAGGGUGAUAGGCCCGUAGAACACCACCCAGCGGUUGAUGGACCGAGCGUACCAUGGAGUCGUGUUGCUUGAUAGUGCAGCACAAAGUGGGAGGUAAACUCCUUCUAAAGCUAAAUACGACCAUGAGACCGAUAGUAAACAAGUACCGUGUGGGAAAGUUGAAAAGCACUCUGAAUAGAGAGUCAAAUAGUACGUGAAAACUGCCGAGGGUGUAAAAGCCUGUUGAACUCGAUUAUCCGUAGUUCCUGGCAUCGNGGGUUUUGGCUGUCACGCAGAAGGGGGCCUUCUGAUGCCUUGACCCUAGCCAGGAACGAGUGCGGACAUCGUGAUCCAUUACGCAAACCAAAUGCGAGCGGCGACUCCGGUUGCUGCGAGCAUAUCCAACAUCAGGUCCCAGAACAUGCGGUCGACCCUCUAGUAGUGGCGCUCAGCUUAAGGCCGGCGUCGCGAACGGGGGAUCGAGGCUCCGGUCUCGAGUUCGGCUAGUUCCGGUGUGCCGUUGGAUGCGUGAUGGGCAUUGAAGUGAACUAGAGAAGUGUGAAGCGCAUGUUUGGGCAUGUUCAAGGGCGAAAGCCUGAGCCGAGCACGACUCCGGAUCUACGAUGUACUAACUAAUCGAGGUACCUACG